rnacentral:piRNA from 1 species
UGGGANCAAACUGAGAUUACAGCAGCAUGU